rnacentral:rRNA from 1 species
UCGAGCGAAGCGCUCACGCGGAAUUUUUCGGAAGGAAGCGGGAGUGACCUAUCGGCGGACGGGUGAGUAACGCGUGGGUAACCUGCCCCAUACCGGGGGAUAACGGUUAGAAAUGACCGCUAAUACCGCGUAAGCGCGCGAGGCCGCAUGGCCCCGGGCGAAAAACUCCGGUGGUAUGGGAUGGGCCCGCGUCUGAUUAGCUGGUUGGCGGGGUAAAGGCCCACCAAGGCGACGAUCAGUAGCCGACCUGAGAGGGUGGCCGGCCACAUUGGGACUGAGACACGGCCCAAACUCCUACGGGAGGCAGCAGUGGGGAAUAUUGCGCAAUGGGGGAAACCCUGACGCAGCAACGCCGCGUGAGUGAGGAAGUAUCUCGGUAUGUAAAGCUCUAUCAGCGGGGAAGAAAGAGGACGGUACCCGACUAAGAAGCCCCGGCUAACUACGUGCCAGCAGCCGCGGUAAUACGUAGGGGGCGAGCGUUAUCCGGAUUUACUGGGUGUAAAGGGAGCGUAGACGGCGUCGCAAGUCUGAAGUGAAAGCCCGUGGCUCAACCGCGGAACCGCUUUGGAAACUGCGAGGCUGGAGUGCUGGAGAGGUAAGCGGAAUUCCUGGUGUAGCGGUGAAAUGCGUAGAUAUCAGGAGGAACACCGGUGGCGAAGGCGGCUUACUGGACAGUGACUGACGUUGAGGCUCGAAAGC